CGGUGCCCUGCACCCAGCCAUGUGGCUGGCUCCCCGCGCGCAGGUGGACCGAAAGAGAUGCAGAUGCAACGCGACCCCAUUACCCAGUCUUUGCCUGUGCUGUUCUCUGUGCCUUUCUUCCUGUCCUUGAGGACAGCUGAAGUCUCACCACAUCUCCUGGAUGUUCUGGCCUUCAGCAAGGAGAGAGAUAGACAAAGAGAUACGGAGACACACAGGGAAGGAGGCCACGUGAUGACGGAGGCAGAGCUUGGAGUGAUGCAGCUACAAGCCAAGGAGCACCAAGGAUUGCCUGCAACUACCAGAAGCUGGGAGAGAGACGUGGAACAGACUCUUCCUAGAGCCUCCAGAAGGAACCAGCCCUGCCGACACCUUGAUUUUGGACUCUGGCCUCCUUAAUUAU